CAUGUUCAGCUCCGGUCCUCAAGGGCUGGUGUCUUGCCAGUUUUAGAUGCGUCUUCUAUGCCCCCAGCAACACACUGGAUUCAAAUGAUCAGCUCACCAGAAAGCUGUGAAUAAGCCUGAAAACGAUCCCGAUAAUUUGAAUCGGGUGUGUUGCAGGAAGGAUGCAUCAAAAACCCCUGAGGACCGAAUUCAGACACCACUGGCGUGGAUGAAAAAGCUUUGUAAUUUGGCAUCGUCCAGCUGUCAUGAAUGGUGGCGGUGUGCCGUGUAGAAAACAGAAUGGCUCUUUGCAGAAAUGUCGAAAUCUUGACUCAAUUAAUUUCGACACUCAAAUGCAAUGAGUCUUUUGUCAUUCUUCAAGUCUGGGUUUUGGCCUGUUUUACUGCUGCUUCUCGUGUUUUUCUUUUUUUUUUUUAAAGGGAGAUUGUUGUGCCGUGACAUUUUGCUUGUGUCAAAUGUGCGAAUUGCUCAAUUCGGGUUGGGGAAACCUUGGUCUCGAAUAGCAGCUUUCGAAUGAUUAUUUGGACCAAUCCCCGAGUAGUUCACCCUAAAUGGCCGGCUUUCUGUUCAAGCUUUCCUUGCAAUGACAGAUUGUCAAAAUGCCAGCUGUGGUUGGAAUGGCCAACACACCAAGAAUUGCGAGAACCAGUAGCCAGUCACACGACCGCUUGCGGUAGAUGUUGCACCCCUCACCUGUCAACAAUCCUUCAAAGUUGAGUUUCAUACAGGUGUCCCUUAGCAUGUAAAAUGAGGUUCACAUGGUGCCAAAUUGAUGGGACUUUUCCACUGAACUGGCGCAAGGUUUGUUUUUACGCCAAGAUCCCUCAAAGCCAAAACGCCCUUGCCCAGUGAUUCCGUGAAAUAAAAUAGUUCGAGAGAGGGUGCAAACAUUCAUUUCUGAUUUUACAGAAUCGAUGCAAAGUUGAAUGUUUUUCAUAGAGAUAUUGAAAAAUUGUAGGGGGAAAUUUUCACCGACUCUGCAAAAUGAAUAAAUAAAUAGAGACUCACAAAAGGUGUAAACAUUACAGAGACCCUGCAAAAUUGCUAAAAACACGUUGCGCAAACAACCCGCAAAAUUAAGCUU